CCUACGGGCGGCAGCAGUGAGGAAUAUUGGUCAAUGGACGCAAGUCUGAACCAGCCAUGCCGCGUGCAGGAAGACGGCUCUAUGAGUUGUAAACUUCUUUUGUACGAGGGUAAAUCCCGAUACGUGUAUCUUGUUGAAAGUAUCGUACGAAUAAGGAUCGGCUAACUCCGUGCCAGCAGCCGCGGUAAUACGGAGGAUUCAAGCGUUAUCCGGAUUUAUUGGGUUUAAAGGGAGCGUAGGCGGUUUGAUAAGUUAGAGGUGAAAUCCCGGGGCUCAACUCCGGCACUGCAUUUGAUACUGUCGGUCUAGAGUAUAGUUGAGGUAGGCGGAAUGUAUGGUGUAGCGGUGAAAUGCAUAGAGAUCAUGAAGAACACCGAGUGCGAAGGCAGCUUACCAAACUACGACUGACGUUGAGGCACGAAAGCGUGGGGAGCAAACAGGAUUAGAUACCCCUGUAGUC
rnacentral:rRNA from 1 species